CAUAGUUUUUCUUUAUACCCUACCAUUCAUUUGCCAUUUCAAAAUAUAAUUUUAAGCUUACUGCCUGAGCACUUGCCUAUUAUUUGUUUAAAAAUCAACCCAAUUACUUCAGGUUUACUUACAGCCUCGAAGAUGGAGUUUCAUGAUCAACAGGAAUUGACUCCCUCUCCAGCUGAGCUAUUAGACAAGAAGGAAAAGGAAUCAGAGAAAGAAAGUAAGCCUGGUGAAGACCUUAAACAUGCUGCCUUAGUUUCUCAGCCUGCGACAACUAAAACUUCCCCGGAUAAAAAGGACAUGCAAGGCACAGAAGAAGAAAAAGCACCUCCCGCUCUGUUUGGGCAUAGUCUCAGCGACAGCCUAGAAGAUACGAAACAGAAGACAGAACCAAGCCUAGUGGUACCUGAUAUUGGCCUUCCAGCAGAGCCCGCAGCUGCAAAAGAGCAAAAGGACUGGUUCAUCCAAAUGCCAAUGGAAGCAAAAAAGGACGAGUGGGGUUUAGUUGCUCCAAUAUCUCCUGGCCCCCUAACACCUAUGAAGGAAAAAGACGUACUUGAGGAUAUCCCCAAAUGGGAGGGGAAACAGUUUGAUUCUCCCAUGCCAAGUCCCUUUCAGGGAGGAAGCUUCACUCUUCCUUUAGAUGUCACGAAGAAUGAAAUCGUUGCAGCCGCAUCACCAUUUGCCCCCGUCCUGUUACAACCAGAUGACAAAAAAUCUCUGGGAGAAACUGGUAGCCCAGCAACUGCCAAAGAUAGUUCUACAGUCGAAGAGCCCCAUAAGGAUCAACCUGACAAAAUGGCAGAAGCACCAGCCUCAGAGGCAGUUGCCUCACCCAAAGAUGCUCACUUUUCAAUUGUGGAUGAGUGUGUCCCGGAGAAAGUUUUAGGAGAAGAGAAAGAGGCAAUAAAGCAAGAGAAUGUGCAGGUAAAAGAGACUCCCGCCCUCAGUGAACAGGAAUCUCUGUUUACUGAAAAGGAACCUCACCCAAAGCUUGAAGAAGAAACAACCAUUUCCGACAAAGAAACCGUGCCGAAAGAGGGUGAACCCCCAAAAUUGACAGAGGAAGAAACAGGUGUAAUUCAGCCCUCCAGAGAGCACACGUACUCAAAAGAAGAACAGAAAGGUCAGGAGCCUCCCACAGAUGUAUUAAAACAGGACUCAUUCCCUGUAAGUUUGGAGCAAGCAGUUACCGAUUCAGCCAUGACCUCUAAGACACCGGAAAAUAUCGUGACCGAACCAGCUGCACUAAGUGAAAAGAGUGCCACCCAGGAGCUUUUUGAAGAAAAAAUUGCUGACAAAGAUAGUAAGUUUGAAGAAGUUGGAGCUGUAACAUCAGCUGAGCUUGACAUGCCAUUUUAUGAAGAUAAGUCAGGAAUGUCCAAGUACUUUGAGACAUCUGCCUUGAAAGAAGAAGUGACAAAGAGCAUCCAGCCAGGCAGUGAUUACUAUGAACUGAGCGAUGCAAGGGAAAGUGCCCAAGAAUCUUUUGAUACCGCAUCUCCCACAUAUAAAAAUGGCGACAAGGCACCUCCAGAAGAGACAGAAUCCCAGCCCAGUGCUCCAGCACAGGAAACAGGGUAUAGCACUCUCGCACAGAGUUACCCAUCUGACUUACCUGAAGAACCCAGCUCUCCUCAAGAAAGAAUGUUCACUAUUGAUCCAAAAGUGUAUGGGGAGAAAAGGGACCUCCACAGUAAGAAUAAGGAUGAUUUGACGCUAAGCAGGAGUUUAGGACUUGGUGGUAGGUCUGCAAUAGAACAAAGAAGCAUGUCAAUCAAUUUGCCCAUGUCUUGCCUGGAUUCCAUAGCCCUUGGAUUUAACUUUGGUCGGGGGCAUGAUCUUUCUCCCCUUGCUUCUGAUAUUCUAACCAACACUAGUGGAAGUAUGGACGAAGGAGAUGAUUACCUUCCAGCCACAACACCUGCAGUGGACAAGGCCCCUUGCUUCCCAACAGAAAGCAAAGAAGAAAAAGAACAGGUAAAGGGAGAAAAGGCAACUGGAGAAGAAAACACCCAAGUCGAAACAUCGUGUGAGUCACCUUUCCUAGCCAAAGAUUAUUACAAAAAUGGUACUGUCAUGGCACCUGACCUGCCUGAAAUGCUAGACCUGGCAGGCACAAGGUCAAGAUUAGCUUCCGUCAGUGCAGAUGCUGAAGUUACCAGGAGAAAAUCAGUCCCAUCAGAGACCGUGAUGGAGGAGAGUAGUACUGGCUUGCCCCCUGUCACUGAUGAAAACCACGUCAUUGUUAAAACUGACAGUCAACUCGAAGACCUAGGCUACUGUGUGUUCAAUAAAUACACAGUCCCACUCCCAUCACCUGUUCAAGACAGUGAGAAUUUAUCUGGGGAGAGUGGUUCCUUUUAUGAAGGCACUGAUGAUAAAGUGCGAAGAGAUUUGGCCACAGAUCUUUCAUUGAUUGAAGUCAAACUGGCAGCUGCUGGAAGAGUCAAAGAUGAACUCAGUGCUGAGAAAGAAGCAUCCCCACCUAUCUCUGGUGACAAAUCAGGACUGAGUAGGGAGUUUGAUCAGGAGAAGAAAGUGAAUGAUAAGCUGGAUACUGUGCUAGAAAAAAGUGAAGAACAUGCUGAUUCAAAAGAACAUGCCAAGGAAACAGACGAGGCUGGUGAUGAAGUUGAAACUGCUGGAUUAGGAGUAACCCAUGAGCAAGCUUCAGCCGAAGAACUGACAGUCUCAAAAGAUGCAUCACCUCUUGUGGCUGAGAAAGCCGAGAAAGGUCUUAGUUCAGUGCCAGAGGUAGCUGAGGUAGAACCAUCCAAAAAAGCUGAACCAGAACUGGAUUUUGCUGCAAAGAAAGCUGACCAGGGUCAGUUAGAUGUUAAAAUCAGUGACUUUGGACAGAUGGCCUCAGGGCUACACAUAGAUGCUGGAAAGGCAACAGAGCUUAAACUUGAGGAUACCCAGGACCUCGUCCCCUCAUCCACAGCACCUCAGGAGGCAGAUGCAUUUAUGAGUGUUGAGCCUGGCCAUGUGAAAGAAGGCACCAAGGUUAGUGAAACAGAAGUCAAGGAGAAGGUGGCCAAGCCUGACCUGGUGCACCAGGAGGCUGUAGACAAAGAGGAGUCCUAUGAGUCCAGUGGUGAGCAUGAAAGCCUCACCAUGGAGUCCUUGAAAGCUGAUGAGGGCAAGAAGGAAACUUCCCCAGAAUCUUCUCUAAUUCAAGACGAGAUUGCCAUCAAAUUGUCUGUGGAAAUACCCUGUGCACCUGCUGUUUCAGAGGCUGAUUUAGCCGCAGAUGAGAGAGCUGAUGUCCAGAUGGAAUUUAUUCAGCUGCCAAAAGAAGAAAGCAAAGAGACCCCAGAUAUAUCUAUCACACCCUCCGAUGUUACAGAGCCUUUGCCUGAAGCCACCGGAGCUGAACCGUUGGAGGCUCAGAGCGAGGAAGAAGAGAUAGAAGCCCGGGGAGAAUAUGACAAACUGCUCUUCCGCUCAGACACCCUUCAGAUUACCGACCUGGGUGUCCCAGGUGUCAGAGAGGAAUUUGUGGAGACCUGCCCUGGUGAACACAAAGGAGUGAUUGAGUCCGUUGUAACCAUCGAGGAUGAUUUCAUCACUGUCGUGCAAACCACAACUGACGAAGGGGAGUCGGGUUCCCACAGUGUGCGUUUUGCAGCCCUAGAACAGCCCGAGGUGGAAAGGAGACCGUCCCCCCAUGCCGAAGAAGAGCUUGAAGUAGAAGAGGCAGCUGAAGCCCAGGCUGAACCCAAGGAUGGCUCCCCAGAAGCUCCAGCGUCCCCUGAGAGAGAAGAGGUUGGACUCUCAGAAUAUAAGACAGAAACCUAUGAUGAUUACAAAGACGAGACCACCAUUGAUGACUCCAUCAUGGAUGCUGACAGCCUCUGGGUGGACACUCAAGAUGAUGAUAGGAGCAUCAUGACAGAACAGUUAGAAACUAUCCCUAAAGAGGAGAAAGCUGAAAAGGAAGCUCGGAGACCAUCUCUGGAGAAACAUAGAAAAGAAAAGCCUUUUAAAACCGGGAGAGGCAGAAUUUCCACUCCUGAAAGAAAAAUAGCUAAAAAGGAACCUAGCACAGUCUCCAGAGAUGAAGUGAGAAGGAAAAAAGCAGUUUAUAAGAAGGCUGAACUUGCUAAAAAAACAGAAGUUCAGGCCCACUCUCCCUCCAGGAAAUUCAUUUUAAAACCUGCUAUCAAAUAUACUAGACCAACUCAUCUCUCCUGUGUUAAGCGGAAAACGACAGCAGCAGGUGCUGAAUCAGCUCAGGCUCCCAGUGUAUUUAAACAGGCAAAGGACAAAGUCUCUAAUCCUACCUUGUCAAAGAUUCCUGCCUUACAGGGUAGCACAAAGUCCCCAAGAUGCAGCUCAGCCUGCCCUAGUACGACUAAAAGGGCUACAUUUUCUGACAGUUUAUUCAUACAGCCCACCUCAGCGGGCUCCACAGACCGUUUACCAUACUCAGAAUCAGGCAACAAGGAUGGAGUAACCAAGAGCCCAGAAAAGCGCUCUUCUCUGCCGAGACCGUCCUCCAUUCUCCCUCCUCGCCGAGGUGUAUCAGGAGACAGAGAUGAGAAUUCCUUCUCUCUCAACAGUUCUAUCUCCUCUUCUGCACGGCGGACCACUAGGUCAGAGCCAAUUCGCAGAGCAGGAAAAAGUGGCACUUCAACACCCACUACCCCCGGAUCAACCGCCAUCACUCCUGGCACCCCACCAAGCUAUUCUUCACGCACACCAGGCACUCCUGGAACCCCUAGCUACCCCAGGACCCCUCACACACCAGGAACCCCCAAGUCUGCCAUCUUGGUGCCCAGUGAGAAGAAAGUUGCCAUUAUACGUACACCUCCAAAAUCUCCUGCUACUCCCAAGCAGCUUCGGCUUAUCAACCAACCACUGCCAGACCUGAAGAAUGUCAAAUCCAAAAUCGGAUCGACAGACAACAUCAAAUACCAGCCUAAAGGGGGGCAGCUUUAUGAAGAUCAGUGUACAAAGCACCUUGUGAUACUUGAAAGUUAUUAAUGAAGUGGUUUCACAAAUUAAAAAUCUAAUUUUCAUCUCCCUUUCCUUCAUCACAUAUCCUGGCCAUCUUUAAAUGCUAAUGAUUUUGUGCCCCAAACAGCUAUUAAAUCUGCCCAUUUCUUUCAGUCUGCUCUGUACCACCCUAGCGCAGGAUACAUUAUCUCUUGUUGAUGUCACUGCAAUAGUUAACUAUUCUCCCUACAUCUGUUCUUUUCUCUAUCUUUUUUUUUAAUAGAAUUUCUUUUUUUAAUUUUAUAUUGGAAUGUAGUUGAUUUACAAUGUUGUGUUAGUUUCAGGUGUACAGCAAAGUGAUUCAGUUACACAUAUACAAAUGUCCAUUCUUUUUCAGAUUCUUUUCCUUUAAUGGUUAUUACAGAAUAUUGAGUAGAAUAUUUCUGUUCUUAUCUCUAUCUGAUAUACUCUCAAUUCUGUAGCCAGUGCUUCUCACCACAUUUGUACAUUCCAUUGCAUAAUUGGUUAUUUAAUGUCUACCUUGUCUCACCUACUAGACUAUAAGUUCCAUAAAAUCAAUGAUGAGGUCCAUUUUGUCCUCAGGGUUCAGUACAUAUGAGUUCCAUCUUGCCCUCAGGGUCCAGUAUACAGUAAGUAUUCAGUAUAUUUGUUGAGUGAAAGUUAAGUAAAUGUAGCAUACCAUAUACAUGGAGAGAUGCAUUCUUUCUAGUGACUUGUGGAAUGAGUGUGAGUGCCAAAAGCCAUUACAGCUGUUACCCAAAGAAACCCCCAACAUUGGGGCCCCAGUGAAUUUUGUCUAAAAGCAUAUUGGAUCAUAAUGUAAGAGCUGAGUUCUUGAUCUAGCUUUUUACUAAAUUAUUGUGACCCUAGAUACUGACCUCUCUGGUCCUCAGCUUUCUUAUUUGUAGAAUAGAAGCAACAAAAUAAUACUUGUUUUUGUGCACGGCACCACCUCAUUUAAAUAGAGUGUGUGGUUACUUUAAGCUGUCAAACCCAUCAUUCUACUUAGGGUGUGACAGUAUUUUUGCAUUGCCGCUCAUUAAAAAGCAUUUGUUCAGGUACUCUAAUAGACUCCAUAAAUAUUUGUGCCACAAAGGGCAAGCUGAAGUUGAGUGAAAGAGCAGUGUUUCUGAAAUAGAAGAGGAGUGUAAUUGGGGAAUGGGCAGCAAUGGGAAAGGGGAAGGAGAUAAUGAAAGGACUGAAAUGUAGAGUGGAAUCUUUUUUAUAUUUUCUUAUAAAAUUUUAGGCAUUACUCUGAGACUUUUAUAGCCUUUCACAUGCUAACUUGAAUGAGUCGCUUUCAAUUUUAUAUUCAAGGGAAAAAAUGGAAUUAAUUCUGGAGGCAACUUAUAAAUUAUAGUGAAACAGGAUUUUUUUCCUCAUUAUAUAAAAUUAUGAUGGUCACCACUGUGAAGGUCAGCUGAGUGCUAUUAAUAUAUAGGCAAAUUUACAAAAUUAUAAAUUUUGUAAACAAAGAAAAGAAAGACUGAUGCUUAUUUAGAUAUUUUUUCUCGUUUGUAUAUUUAUUCUUUCAUCAUUUACGAAGACUCUGCUAAGUACUAUAUAACAUAAGGGGAAUGGAUGAAAAUAACAUGAGGUCUCUACAGUCUAGGCAGAAGUGUUUGUUUGUUUUUCUUGUCCUCCCCUAGUGUCCUGCCCUUAUUUAAUUUUAAGUUUUUUCUAAGCCAUUCUUUCCAUCUCCUUAGGGCUGCAAAUAAAUGCUAAAUAAGAAGUGUAAUAAAAUACCCCAUCAACUGUAAAAUACUGUCAGUCAACCCAGUGUGAAGAAAAACUGUUCACCAAAAUAUGUUACAUUAUAUUGACAAGGCAUUUUUUGCUAUGAAAGUCAUCAUCAUCUCAAAAUGAAAGCUCCUUGAGAUCAGGAACCUUGUCUUUAUGCAAUAGAACUUUUAUAACUAUAAUUCAAUAUCUUUUGUAAGGUAAUGAAAAGUUUUCAAGUUAAGCUUCAUAAAUAUUAAUUAUUAAAAACUAUGGGAAAAUUAUUACUUUGGGCUUACAAAGUUGAGGCCUACAGAGUCUCUAUUUGUUUGCUCUUCAUUUAUAAACCAAGCAAGGACAUGGGAACAACCUUGAAUCUCAGGUUGUUUUCAAACAACUGAACAGACUCUUGAAAAGUUACUUUCUUACCAACUUGGCCCAGUAUUCCUUAAACUAUCUUAAAAAUUUAAACUAAAGAAAAAAUAUAAUGUCAAGAUUAUGGCAUAUGAACUUGAUAAAGCUCAUUAUCUGUUAAUUUUCGUGAAUCACAAUGACUGUUAUAUUCAUAACUUUCCUUCCAGUGCCCUUGGACAGACUACUUGAAAUAUCUAACGAUGUCUGUUUCACCAAAAAGUUCUUUCCAAGUUUUUCAGCAUUAUCCAUUCACCCCAAGGUUUCUCAGUGAGGUUUUACUUUCUGUGCUGUGUGACACAGCCUGCACAGGAAAAUUGGGCUGAUGCCUUCAUGGCUCCCCUUCCAUAUUCUCUUCCUUAAAGCUCUGUGAAAUUGUAUGUUUUGAGAUAAACUAUUAUUUCUAUUUAAAUGUGUAUUGAAGUAUACUUAUUGUUUAUAUUUGGUAUACUUAGUUUUGAGGAAAUUAUUGGUCAGUGUAGGUAGGAUAAAUUACAAUUCAGAAUGGACUAUGUUUGUAUACCUGCAUGCAUUUUGACCAGAGCACAGGGUUGUUAACAGAUGAAUAUUUAAAGAACAGAUGAAUAUUUAAAGAACAGAUGUUAACAGAUGAAUAUUUAAAGAACAUCAUCUGUUCCAGAAAACUUUCACUCUUCAGAAAUAUAUGAUAUAAUAAUAUUUUUGCUUUAAUAUAUGAUGCCUCUGGACUCUAUGGAGGCUAAAUAGUUUUCAUUAAAAUUGAAUGGUAUGGAAUAGGAAAUACUUUGGAGAAAGGCAGAAAAGUGUUUUGAUAAUGUAAAUAUAAAGAAAAGCUUCAUAAGCAUUCCUGAGAAAUGAUGCAAACCCAAAGGAAAAGCUUAAUCCCCUAUAAAGUUGAAGAGAAGUCAAUUGAGUGUUCCUGUCCACUACCUUUCAAAAAAAAAAUUCUUCCUAAGGCAGCCUUGUUUGGAGAAAGAAAGAAAUGAUGUUGUUUAUACCUCGAGGAUGCCGGAAGGGCCUAGCACCAGAUUGUAAAGGAACUGAGACUAGAAUCCAAACUUUUGGACUCCCAGUUACUUUCCAUGUCUUGCCAUCUUGAGCUAAUAUGUGGAUGUUUUUAUUUUAAAAAGCAGCAGCAGAGAAUGUCAAAAAAAUCAAAUUCCCAUUGCUAAAGAAAUCCAAGUUGACACUGUGAUUAAUGCCUCUGUUUAUAAACUGUUUUACUAAAAACUACAAGUUAGAUUUAUUUUCUCUCAUUUUGCAUGUUUCAUAUUUCCAGCUAAUCUCUAGUAAGAGAGAUCUUUUCCUGCCUGCAGGCAUAUCCUGCAUUUUGUAUUCUUACUCUUUCUUAGGGUAACCCCAUUUUGGGGAGAAAAAAGGCUAAUUUCUCUAAAUGAGCAAUUAAACUUAUAUGCAUAGAGAGUACAGUGGCAGAUCAGUUCAAUUGAACCAUCAUGAUAAAAUUCAGCUAGAGUCACAUCAAGAAUAUCCAGAAAGUAAGUAUUCUGUUCUUUCCUAACAUGGUGGAGGAAUAGACAGAAUUAAUUAAAGUUAAAUAAUUCUGAUUAAUUAUUCAAUUACAUUAGCCUAUUCUUUUUAACUCUUCAUGCUUAUAAGACCCUUAUAUGAAUGAAAAAUCAAUGAUGAAAGUCACCACUGUACGCCCAUGAGAAUGAAAUCCUUUUUUUGCCAGCCUCUCACUGGAGGGACUGAUUAGGCUGAACCUUGAAGGAGGAUCUGUUACAGACUCAACUUGGAAUGAGGGCAUUCUGUCAGGAGAAAUAACAUAAAGAAAGCAUGGGGAUGAACUUGAAAAUGUAAACAAGGCCCUUAAAGUAUGGACUAUAACACAGUCUGGAUGAAAUGUACAGCAUUAAGAGAGGACUCAAAAAUUAGAAUUGCUGUGAACCCUGGUUGCCUGGCUAAAAGUUUUGUUGUAUUUAAUAGUAAAUAGGGAGUUUGGUAGAAUUUUGAAUAAGGCAGAGUUUAGGAAGAUGACCCAGUUGAUUGAUAUAAUAUAUUUUCCUUCCACUGUGAAAUAUGUAGAAGGAAAGAUAGAUUGUCAUAUUCUUUGCAUUAAUAAAACAAGUAAAAAUUUUGAUUGAAAGAAAUUAACAAAGAUUAAAGUAUGGUUUCUAGUUAAUGUUGGAUGGUUAUUCAGAUAUUUUUUCCUUCAUAUCAUGAAUAUAGAAAAUUAGUUCAUUUGUAAAAUAGAAGUUCAUUAUAUUUUUUCUAGGCAGUCUCUAAGAUGUUAAAAUAAUUUUACCUUGACAUAGGCUUUAGGAAAACAAAAUUCCAAUGAAAAUUUCUUCCUAAAGAAAGUAAUUUAUUUCAAUCUAUCCAUAGAGAACAGAGAGUUAAAACUUGACUCUCUGAUUAAAAAAAAAAAAAAAAACUAUUUUUCUAUUUUAUGGGAUGGUUUUGAGGACCACCAGUAUUUGUGGAAUUAAUUCUCUAAGGUGUUAUUUGUCAAUGUUGCUAGAGACGUUUGACAUGAAGUAUUUUGUAAUUUUGCUAAGGGAUAAAUGUGAGUCACAAGGCUGAAGUACAAGUUGUCAAGCUAGAGUGCAAAUCUUACUGAACAUCAAACAUUCACUGCCUAGAGUGGUUUUGUUUCUCUCCACUCAACCAUUAAGCACAAUGGUGAAUGUCAUACUGUGCCUCAUUUUAGACAAAAGCAAUAUACCAUGAAGUUUUUGCAAUUAUGGAAAUAUGUAAAGAACACACUACUAACGCAUGUCAAAUUGAACAAAUAUGGGUUGAUAAUGUCUGUCAUCAAAAAAGGCCAGCUAGUUUUUUCACUAGAAAAUCUGGGGAAAAUCAACCUUGAAGUUGGCCUUGAAGUUUUAGGAUUUAAGGUUUGAAUCAUCUAUAAAUAAUGCAGGCAAUGUGUCCCCUUUGGGUUUGAAUCAUUUGUUUUGGAAAUCAUAAAAAUUGUCAGUUAGUUAAACGUUAGAGUCAAACAAAUUUAUGCAACUUGGAAUUUGAAAUUUCCAUUUUUACAACAAGUGAGUCAGAUUUAACAUUUGGCUUUUGAUCACUUGGUAAUGAGUCACUUGAUUGCUACUCUUAUGAUCUCUAAAUUAAAAUUUGUAAAUGAAAUAUGAGACUCUGUAUAUCCCCAAGGAUUAGAAAAAUGGCUUAAAUUCUGUUUCACUGCCAAAUAAAUAGAUCCUCAUGGAGAAUAAUUUAAAGUAUUAUUAUUAGAAAUAACAAAUCAAAAUUAUUUGCUUUCUAAAAAUAACUUACCUGUGAGGUUUGAAAUGUAGUGGCCCUUAUUGACUUUGUUAUCUGCAUCUACAGUUUAUGGGAAACUCUUACAGCUCAACUACAUUUAUUGUUAGAUACAGACUCUGUGAUAUCCCCCCUUUUUUUAAAUUGAGGAAUUUUAUUAUUGGAAUUUUUAUUAUGCCCUAAAGAGUGGCCACAUCAUCAUGUCUUCUGAAUUCAGAUUUUGACAAGAGGCCCUUCCCUUGGGCUGCCAAUGAGAGCUGUCGAUGAUACUUCCCUGUAAGGAGCAAGCUAUCUUGUCAAUGCUGGGCAGUUGCUGCAAUUUAAGCUUUGUCUAGCUAAAAAUAGUCAGGAUUCAAUGUCCUCUUGAAUUUUUUACUCUUUUUUGUGAAUACCAAGAGAUGUGAUACCAUCCUUGGAGACAGAUGUAUAUUUAGGGUAAAUUUAUUUAGCUUUUUUUAAUAUAUAAGAGGAUAAACUGUCCCCUAAAGCACUGAAAGUGUGAUUUUUCUUUAGCUAUUGGAGGGUGGUUGUAGCCAAAGUGAAAUAAAACAAACCAAAAAAUAACAACAAAAAUAAACCUUUCCUUCUGUUCUCACAUUGCUUGUCAGCCCUCCAAAACAUGCAAAAUUCAAAAGACACAUGAAAGAAGCUACAAAUUAUUACUUUGCACAUUAUAUUACACCAGAGUAAUAUCUUUGCAGAUCUAGAUUUGCUGUUGUCUCGAUUCGCUAUUGUCUUCCAGAUGAAUACUGGACUUCCUGAAAAUAGAAAUAAAACACCUAACCUCAAAUCUGCUGGGCACCACCAAGGCCUGGACUGCAUGCACAUGACCUAGUACAAGUCAGCUAACUAUUGGCCUUUGGGUUUCUCCCCUCUAAAAAUGGAAAGAAUGCUUUCACACCAAAUCCAAGGAUAAUGGCUAUUCAUGAGCAGUGGUCAGAGAAAGGCCUUUCAGAAGGCUACUGAGCCAAACCUGCAAGGGAAUCGUAGAGCUUUUCAACAGAGGAGGCCCAGAGCCUCCUUGUCGACCAUCUUAGGAAACCAGGGCUUCUUCCCCAAGAUGAUUGAAAACCCUCAUCUGUAGCAUUCAGCCAGACCAAUUUUAUUAUUGGAACUUUUAUUAUGCCCUAAAGAGUGGCUGAAUCAUCAUGUCUUCUGAACCUCACCUGUUUCACGUGGACCAGUCUUAGUCAAGUCACGCGUACCAGGUGAUUUACAAUUGUGAUGGCUAAUACUGUAGGGGUUAAGGGGAGUGGGGCACUGGCGUAUCCUUCAGGAUUCUGGGCUGAACCACACUACUGGACCUUCCAUAGAGCGGACCUGAGUCCUAGUGUUGCCCGCAAUAUCGGAAGCUUCCUCCUCACUGAUAAUUCAAGUUUUAUUUUUCUAUUGCCGUAUUGUUUCCAGAUUACAGCAGCCAAAAGCUGGGAUAUCUAAGGCUCUCAAGCAUUUGACCCUUGCGGUUGCAGAAGAAAAGGGGCUCAUAUUUAUAUGAUAGAUCUGCUCUUCAGUUUCAGUGUCAAUUUUUUUGUCUUAAGUGAUUAUGUAGGUGGAAGGAGUUUGGAGCCUCUUUGCUGCUACCCAUUCCUGGUUCCCUAUACCCAGCAUGUUGAAAGAAAAACGCACAGUGAAGUUACUUCCAAUUCCUUUUAGGUUAGGAUUUUAAACAAGAAGAUCGAUUUUAGCAAGGUUCAGUCCAGAUGUGGUUCCAAGGAUAACAUCAAACAUUCUGCUGGGGGCGGAAAUGUACAGAUUGUCACCAAGAAGAUAGACCUAAGCCACGUGACAUCCAAAUGCGGC